rnacentral:tRNA from 1 species
AUAAGUCUUGUGGUGUUAACGCCAAAAUGCAAAUUUGGAGAAGCACCACAAAGGUGCCGGGACUUC